UUCCGAGUUGCUCAAUAGUUCUUUCCCUUUGUGGAACUCUUACGCACAGUGAGACGCAAAACACACUAUCGUCCACACGCGGUGGGUACAAAUGCUUAUUUAUACAGAGAAAAAGACAAACAAAACCAGUUUAAACUUUAUUUGACGAGUAUUGGCCGUGGCAUAAAGCAAGAAUUUGUGGGAUGCCAUUCAAUAAGAACUCAUAUGGGCAAACUCACACAAAAGCAACAUCAACACAAAAUGCAACAUCAAUCAACAAGUUCAGAAAAGACCACCCCGGGUCAACCGCGGAUGGUUACUUAAUUAAUUAGAGUAUGUUAAAUUAACCCAAUAUUUAGCUCAAUUAUGCAAUGCAUUAUGAUAAAAGCACUCAUUUUUUCAACAGCAAGUUUCACCAAAUCAGUCACAAAUCACAGAACAGGUUCAAAUUCACUGGCAACACAAUAGAUAUGGAUCAAUUGGGAGUUGGUUUAGAGUUCUGGAAUCAGUUGGGAGUUGUGACAAUAGCAAUCAUUUGACAACAGUAACAGUUUCACAAAUUCAGUCACAGUUCAAUUGCACAGAACAGUUUCAUAUUCACUGGCAAUACACCAAUACAUAUAGAAACAGUUGACUUGGUGUGCGCAAACGCCUCCAUCACAAAAGAUAUGCCACGACAACAUAACGGGAAACAGCUACCAUCUCGUAUACUAAUUCAAGGAACGAGUAUCUGAAAAAAAAACAAAAAAAACAGCACCCAGUAUCCAGACCUUAAAAAAUGUCCCUAUAGCAUAUGGGAUGGGUGGGUGGAAUUUUCAACAGAUGCCAUAAUACAAUGGCUAUCACAAAAAAUACUUCUCAAAUUAUUUCUUCGACUGCUCUGGUUGAAGUCAGCAUCAGAAAGGAGGCCGAUCCCGAUGUGAUGCACAUUUGUACUUAUUUAUUGGGGCCCCAAUAUCCCGCACCCGAAUUAAAUACGAGUAUUUCUCGUAAAAUAAAUGCAUCUAUUUUGUAUGAAAAAUAGAUGCUCUUAUUGCUGCCUUCAUAUAUAUCUUAUAUAUGAUUAUCAGACUUUAUGCACCCACUCAAUCUGCAAGGACACACAAUAUUAGUAAGUUUAUUAGUAUUUAAUAAUAAAUUACCUCAAACAAAAUUCGAUAAUCACCAUUUUUCUUUGAUUAAAAUAUCACUCAUGCAGACGAGGAAAUAAAAAAAUAAUUUCAUAUUUAAUUCAAACAAAUAUUAUUCUUGAUACGGUUAGUUUAAUGUAUACCAACGGCUGAUAUAAACAAAAUUUACACUUUCAUUACUUUUAUCAGUAUUUACAUAGCUAGUCUAUAGUAUAGGUAUAUAUCUUGUACACACCCAAGCGUUCAACAGCACACUGGACGUAUCUCCAUCACAGAAGAGCUGAUAUCUCGGGAAUUGUGUAUUCAAUUAACAAAUUUCAACAGAAAAAUUACAUUGGAGAUACGGAUUCGAUAUACUUAACAAAGUCUGAUCCGUUCAAUAACACCUUAGAUUCUAAAGUCAAAAGAAUAAAAGACGAAGUUGUUAACUUAUGUGAGGAGCGCAGGUACUGACUUUGCCAAAGAACAUGACCCACGAACCAUGAAAAAUGGCCUAGCCUGGGAUAUUGAUAAUUUCUGUAUAUAAUAAUCUUCCGAAUCGGGAUAUAGGCUUUCUAGAAAUGUUUUUCUUUUUUUCAUAUAUUCUAUACUUUUUUGUUAAUAUGACGUUGAAUAUUGUGGUGUUUAAUGUUAAAAAAUUUACAUUUCGGGAUACACGUCACAACAAUAAACCUCCAAUGACCAUGUACAAUGUACAUGAACCUAUAAAUCUCUGAAUAUAUCAAGUUAUAUGCACUCAAAUAGCUAGAAUGGCUUAUUCAAUGAUCAUAAUAAGCAUUUUUGACCAAAUUUGGGAAAUCGAAAUAAGAAAUAUUUUGGAAAUGAUGUUCAACUUUACUUUUAAAUUAUUUUUACUUGAAUUUUAAAAUACUGAAAUAAGAAGAAUAAAUAUAGUAUGUAGUCUAUUUAGAUGGUGAAAGAAGUGUAUCAUUGGAACAAUUCUGUUUCAUGACACAUUCCAUAGUUUUUUAAUUUGGGGGGGGGGGGGGGUAUUAAAACGACCGAGUAUCGAUAUCAAUGGUAACGAAAUAAGUUGACACCGCGUCUCGUCAAAACACAUGUUCAAUUCGAAUUUACUCGGAAUUACACGUUCAACGAGCAUUUCCUGUGAAACCUGAUUAAAGGAAAAUUACUGUAGACACCUAAUAGUAAGUAUCAAAUGAUCUUUUUGUUACAUGUACAUGUAGAUUUCAUAGCGUGAAUAAUAACAACACAACACCGAUAUAGGGGAUCAGAGUCAGUAUAUUAUUGACUCUGAAAAUACGAUUUGAGAAAUGAUACUGUAUAAAUUUUACUGUAUUUAUCUUGGUCAAUAAUUGUAUAUUCCUAUACGUAUUAAUCAUGUAAAGAUACUGAGGUCUUUUAACCAACAAUUUUUUUUAAAUGUUUGUGCAAUGGUUAACGCUAUUUGGUACCGCUUGCAGGGCGGCGACCACGAGUUACCUGCCCCUAUACAAUGAGUUAAUUGCCCCUGUAUUUCAUCUGUUAAGUUGUACUUAAAAUAGGCUAACUCUUGCGCAAAAAAAGAUAGAAAAUAUCAAAUAUGGGAAAGCGGGACGAUAGACCAAACAUAUCUACGAAGAGACCAUUGGUGCCGGAAAUAUCUCUGUCUUUAGUAGUGUCCGCGAGGUAUAUUAAUUUAUAAAACAUGAGAUAUUAGUACCAUAUUGCCCGGGAAUCAAAAGAUUUUUGCAAGAUCGAUUCAAGAAACGGACUCUAUCUGGAAAAGGAAAACAAUAUCAAAGCUCCUCUGUGAGAAGUUGGCCAAGGAAAGCAUUCAGAAGAAAGUGGAGAUUCAUUGUUUUUACCAGAUCCAGUAGAUCACAGAAAGCAUCUAGUAGGGGAGGUCUACAGAUCGAAGCAUGCCAAAUGUGUCAAGAACAAGUUUCCAGGAUUAAGCCAGCCAGUAGAUGAGACUAUUAUAUCAAAAAUACAUUUACUUGUACACGAGGGCAGGACACAAAGCGUUGAUGAAACAAAAAGACAUUUCCGUCUGUUUGUAAAGGAUACUAUUUCACCAGGGAACACCAUCUCAGAAUUUAACAGAUGCUUUUACCCCACCAAUAAGGAUGUAAGAAAUCACAUUUACAGGGCACCGAGAUUUUGCCAGGUAGUUUAGAACUGUGUGCAUUGGUUUUGGAAGAAUUUGGGCUGUUUAGGCUAAAAUCCAUUAUGAUUGGACAGAAUAUGAACACACACAUCCAAUACUUCAAAGAUAUUAUGUUUGUGGAGGCAGAGAUUUUGAUUGCAUCCACUGUUUAGAAUACAUCCUUAAGGGAAGCAGACUGCCGCCUUUACCCAAUGAUAUAAUGAUUAAUCAUAACUAUAUCUGUUUUGUACCAAAUAGAAAGAGCAUUGAUUCAGGUCAUUUUCAAAUCCACUGGCAUACAUUGUACUAUACAUGCAACCUUUUCAAACUUUACAUUUAAGAUUUUAUAAAGGAAAUAUCUUAAUGUUUCACAUGUUUACCUUUCACUGUGCUAUGUAAUUCAUUAUACCUGCCAUUUUGCCAGUCUUCCUGAACAUAAUUUGUUUUCUGCAAUUUCAUUGGCCAAGAGGCUUAAUCCUGGGUUAUCAGAUUGAGCAUUUAUAUUUAGUAUCCCAUUGAUUUUGUCAGCCCUAUAUAAGGAGGUGACUCAGAUUUACUCACUCUGCUAGGUUAAAGAACUCUAAGGUUUGUACUUUUCACAUGAAUUUCGUGUUCGCCUCUUAUCUUUUACAUAGAGUAGGAAAUGAACAUAACAUUGAGUUAGGGAACAAUUUAGAUUUUACAUUAUAAUAUGUAAAUACCUUAGCAGAGUCAAUUUACUUGGUUCAGGGUAGUAUCAGAUAUUACUUUUUCAAAGUUUAAGUGUUUAGGCUAUCUCAAUGUUUCUAUAGUUAGCCUUGUCCUAUGUUACUUUUAGAUGUAUGGAAGCCUUUUAGUGUUAUAACACUAUAUUUAUGCCCCCAUUCAAAGAAGAGGGGCAUAUUGGUUUGCACCUGUUGGUCGGUCGGUAGACCACAUGUUGUCCGCUUAAUAUCUUAAGAACCAUUCACUUGAUCGUAAUAUAUUUCAUAUGUGGGUUGGUUAUGAAAAGAAGAGGACCCCAAUUGUUUUUCUGGUCGAAAUGUCAAGGGUCAAUCUACUCUGGACAUAGGAAGACACUGCCUGCUCAAUAUCUUGAGAACCCUUUGCUUGACAGACAUCAAACUUGGUACACUGGUACAUCUCAAGGAGUAGAUUUGAGGUCACAUGGUCAAAAGUCAAGGGGUAAACUGGACAUAGUAAUAUAUUGUCUCUUAUGUUUUAAGAAUUAUUUGCUUGAUUGACACCAAACCUGGUACAGCAUAAGGAGUAGAUGACCCCUAUUGAUUUUUAGGUCACUUGGUCAAUCCACUCCUGACACAGGAAGAUAUUGUUUGCUCAAUAUUUCGAAUUGAUGACACUACUAUCAAUCAAAUUAUGCAUGUGUAUAACCCUUUUCAAUUUUGCACCAUGGGGGCUUAUAUGUUUUACAAACACCUCAUGUUUUAUAGUUUGUGAAAGAUUGUUAGGGUCAUAACUUUAGAUUUUCUUAUUAUGGUACUUGCCCGUCAGAGACUGGACAUAUUAUGGUAUGGUGUUGUCUGUCCGGACCUUGUAAGAUGGGAUACAGACUGAACCGUAAGCUCCAGAAUCUUACAACUUGGUACAUUUGAUCACCAUAAAAGGAAGAUGCUUAUUGUUUUUUAAGGUCAAGGUUGUAGGUUCACUUAAUAGGAAAACCUUGUUUGAGAAAAUUACAGAUUCUUGAACUGAGUAUUUUGAGGAAACAUUACAUAGAAAGUACAUGAUUUGUCUAAUUUCUCCCAAUAUUCAACUGAGAACCUUAUUCUGCAGAGUAUUUGUAUUUGUAUGGGUAUGGAAAAUGUGUAUGUGGCUAUGAUUUUGAUUUUUGUUUAAUUUUUUUUUUUUUUUUUUUGAAAAUUACAGGUUUAACCGAGUCAGUUUUUGAGGAAAUAUAUAUGUAUUAAAUAAAUGACGGUUUGACCUUUUAACUCCUCUCACAGUUUUGAAACUAGGGUCUUUGUAAAUAACUUCUUUGGUGUUUUAGAAUAUUUACAGAUUGUUGAUCAUGGUAAAUUUUGGGGAAAUAUUUUCCGCAGAGCUCUAGUUGUCUAUCUACCGGCCUCCUGUCACUUUUAAGUUUAGGAGCUUUUAUUCAUGGAAAGAAAGUAUGUGACAGCCUGAUGAUGGCUGAUACUAUUUAAAGCCUUUUUAUACGCCCGUCUUAAGACGGGACGUAUUAUGGUAUGGCGUUCAUGUCCGUCCGUCUGUUAGCUUUUUCGUGUCCGACCCGUAACUUAAAUACUACAAGGCCUAGAAUCAUCAAACUUUGUCUGUAGAUGCAUCUUGGGUAGAAGGUGUGUCGCACAUUAAAACCAGGUCACUGUGACUUUUCAUUAAGAAGAUAUCCGUCUGUCCGUCCGUCUGUUAGCUUUUUCGUGUCUGACCCGUAACUUAAAUACUACAAGGCCUAGAAUCAUCAAACUUUGUCUGUAGAUACAUCUUGGGUAGAAGGUGUGUCGCACAUUAAAACCAGGUCACUGUGACUUUUCAUUAAGAAGAUAUGGCCAUAUAUGGCAAAAACUUGUCCGGCUCAUAACUUGAAAACUAUUAGGCCUAGAAUCACCAAAAUUGGUCAACUAAUGCAUCUUAGGUAGAAGGUGUGUCGCAUCCUACUUUAAGGUCACUGUGACAUUUAAUUAAGGUAAUAUAAAAAAAAUGUUUUAAUGGGUACAAUCUAUACUGUUAACAAUAUGUGACGGGCGUAUCAUGUGCCGUGGCGGUGCACUUUAUUCUAGAAAUGGCAUCAGAAAAACACCCUAUGUAACCUUUUCUGCUUAUACUCAUUUAUUUUUAUUGGAAAACUUAUUACUUGUUAUCAGCUACUCUAAAACAAUAUUGACUUGUGCUAUAAUAAAUUUGUAAACUUUA